rnacentral:lncRNA from 10 species
AGUUUUGGGGAGGGAUGAUCUGCUAGUGUAUAAUCAAUAACUUUUAACAUUUAGCUUGUAUUUAGUAACAUUUCAUUGUGUUUUGAAAAAAAGUAAAAAAUCUUUUGAAGCACAAUUUUCAUGAUGUAAAAGGUAUUGAGUUUCCUAGUGUAAGAACAUGAAUUCUGGAAACAGUCUUAGGGACACUGGGCAAGAUAGAGGCCUCCACCCCUCCCCCCCCCACCAACUUUGUUUGUAAAAGGAGAUAAUACUGCCUACAUCAGGGUUGGUGUGAGGAUUAAUUAGAAGAGUACAUGUAUGUAAGCACCAGACACAUAGUAAGCACUUAAUAAUGUUAGUGGCUAGUAUAAACAGUAAACAUAUUUGUGCCCAUUUAUGAAUAAUUUUAGUAUUCGCUCCAGUCAUGAGGUGUAGUAGUAAUAUCUAAGACCUUAACUGAAAUGUUUAAAGAAACCUAGGUAUAACAGAGAACAUUAUGGGUGCUGAUUUCCACUCUCACUAAAAGCCAGUGACUUUACUAUAUCAGCAAGUAUAAAGCACUACUUGACUCUGUAGAUUGUAUGGACCAAGAAUGUAGAUAUGAGACAGCUGAUCUCUACGAACUGAAUUUUUAGUGAGUAAAGCAAGCAAGCAUGUAAUAGAGAACAAUAAAAGCUCUGAUAGACAUAUGUACAAGGUGUUGUAGAGGUACAAAGGAAAGUUAUUCAGACUAGGCAAGAGAGUGAUUAAACUUAAGUAUUGAAGAACAAAUAGAUCAUAGCUCUAGGGGAUGUGGAACAUACAAAGUGGAAAGUUUGGGAAGAGUAUUCCCAAGGCAAAAAGCUUAGCACAUACAAACAUAGGAGGAAAGCGAGACACUCUUAAAGAGUUGCUAUGCUUUGGGAGGUGGAGGCGGGCGGAUCACGAGAUCAAGAGAUUGAGACCAUCCUGGCCGACACAGUGAAACCCUGUCUCUACUAAAAAUACAAAAAUUAGCUGGGCGUGGUGCGCGCCUGUAGUUCCAGCUACUCAGGAGGCCGAGGCAGGAGAAUUGCUUGAACCCAGGAGGCAGAGGUUGCAGUGAACUGAGAUUGUGCCACUGUACUCCAACCUGGCAACAGAGCGAGACUCUUGUCUCAAAAAAAAAAAAAAAAAAAAAAAAAAAAAAAAAAAAGUUGGCCAGGCACGGUGGCUCACGCCUGUAAUCCUAGCACUUUGGGAGACCGAGGCAGGGUGGAUCACCACCUGAGGCCAGGAGUUUGAGACCAGCCUGGCCAACAUGAUGAAACCCCAUCUCUACUAAAAAUAGAAAAAUUAGCUGGGCAUGGUAGUGUGCGCCUGUAGUCCCAGGUACUUGGAAGGCUGAGGCAUGAGCACAGGAGGCGGAGGUUGCAGUGAGCUGAGAUUGUGCCACUGCACUCUAACCUGGGCAAUAGAAUGAGACUCUGUCUCCAAAAAAAAAAAGUUGCUAUGUCUGAAGAGGUAAACAGGUGAUAAAUCAUGAAGAGAUUUGUGUCUGAAACUGUAAUUGAAGGAUUUCAAACAGGAAAAAGAUAAUCACAUUUAUACUUAAGAUUAGAGAGGUAUGAUACUGGAGGCAGAGAGACCUGUUAGAAAAUUUAUACUAAUUCAGGCAAGAUGAUGAAGGGCAGAACUAAAGCAAUGAAAAUAGGGAAAGCAAGUACAGAAGAACAAAACUUAAAGAUUUAGAGAGCAGCACUGACCCAGCUGGGACAAGUUCUAGUUGUCCAUUCUAUUGCCAGUGCUGCAGAGUCCAGAGGCAGCACAGUGCAUCAUUUGGUGAGGGAGUUCACAAGGGAGAACCAAACUAGCUUUUAUAACAGACCCAUUUGUGGUAACUAACCCAGUCCCUUGAUAAUAACCAUUAAUCCAUGCAUAGAUUAAUCCAUUUAUGGGGACAUAGAUAGCCUUCAUGACCCAAUCACCACUUAAAGGCCCUACCUCUUCGUACUGAUACAUUGGGGAUCAAGUUUAGCACAAGUUUCAGUGGGGGCAAACAUUCAAAUCAUAGCAGUGUCUAUUAGGCUGCAGGAGGUGUCUCUACCCAAAUGUCGGUAAGUAUGUGAUAAGUGGGAUAGUUGAGCUAGUUUAACGAUGUCUAGGUUGGUUGGGUUGGACUUUUCCUCGUGUCACCUCCCUGCUUAGCUCUAGCUGCUUAUUGGAAUGCAGCCGUGCUUUCCUGGGUUUACUUAGGAAAUGCUGAGAUGCACUCUGAAGCAUUCUUGAGGUUUUCCCUUUGGUUCAUUUGUCCCAUACUCUCUCCGUUAUACCAGUCUUCUCAGAUCUUCACAACACAAGUAAAUCUGUUGGAAGCAAGGUCUUGUAGAUGUAGACAUAUGGGAAAGAUAGAGCCUGCUCUCCUGAUGGAUGCUGUUGUUGAGAUAGGUUGGGUUGGCCUAGGUAAGAGGAGGACCAGAAGAGAUUUAUGAUUUCUUGGAAGGCUAUGAGUUGCUGCUGGCCCCAUCAUAAUCUUUUUUGUUUAGCAGAAGUCAGGAAACGAAUACUGGUACACUUACAUUUCUUGGAAGAGCAGCAGAAACCUUGGGAUAUCCUUGUGGGUCAAGGAGGCAACUCUCCUCACGGAUUCCCUGAUUUGAUAACAACAUACUCAUGGAAACACCAAUCCAAGUUUUCACAAGUUUCUCUUAAAGUUAACUUAAGACUUCCUAGACCAAGAAUUCCUACCACGCAAGGCCUGUGAAAAUAUUGUAAACUUAAUAUCCGACAGGGAGAUAUUCAAAGAUGCCAAAGUACCUGUUUUUAUAAAUAUUACCACAUGGUUUAAGAUUUGACUUCUCACAUAAAAUGAGUAAAAAUAACAAUGAUUUUUCUGCAGUACCUUAAUGAUGCUGUAAUUAUGAAGCAGGGUUUUAAAAUUCUGCCAUGUAGUGCCUUAUUUUUAUAGUAAUGUUUUCUAUGAACCUUCUAAUUUAAUGUGUAUUAAGAGAUUUAAAGAGUAUGUAAUUAAAAAAUAUCUUUCCAACAAAGUCACCUUGAGAUUUAAUGCUUUCUAAUUGGCUUGAUCAUUUGAUGGCAAGAUAACUAGUUGGGUAACUGAACAUAGACUCUACAGUGUUAGCAAAUAUGAAUUUAUAUUUCAGAAAAAUAUCAAAUAACUAAUAUCAGAGCCUGUGUGCCUGCCUUUCAAGGUAGUACAUUAACACUUGGAAUAUUAAAUCUGUAAAUACUAAGGAUAUUAUCCAAAUAGAUGAUAUUCAUCAAAUGGUAUAUAAAGUUCAUCCGUUGUUGGAAUUCAAAUGUUGCAAAGGCCAAAGGUAUUUAAUAUCCAAACUAUUGUUUUAGCAUAUAUUUAUUCUUUGAAAUCUGGUGUGUAUUUUACACUUACAGCCCAUCUCUAUUCAGGACUAUAGCCACAUUUUAAGUUAUCAAGAGUCAUAUGUGACCAGUGGCCACUGUGCUGGCAGCACAGGUCUAGAUGACUCUGGGAGACACUUCUACUCCUAUCUCUCCUUACCUGAAUAUUUCUGAAGGCCUUCUAAUUCCAACUUUGUGAAGACUCUUGGGUCUCUUUCAAAGUUUAUUUAACUGCUGCACUUGAGCAGAACUUGUCCUAAAUUAUUACUAAAAUUGAGGCAGUUUCCUCAUAUUUAUUUAUUUAUUUAUUUUUUAGAGACAGAGUCUCGCUCUGUCGCCCAGGCUGGAGUGCAGUGGCGCGAUGUCGGCUCACUGCAAGCUACGCCUCCCGGAUUCACGCCAUUCUCCUGCCUCAGCCUCCCGAGUAGCUGGGACUACAGGCGCCUGCCACCUCGCCUGGCUAAUUUUUUUUUUUUUUUUUUUUUUUUUUUUUUUUGUAUUUUCAGUAGAGACGGGGUUUCACUGUGUUAGCCAGGAUGGUCUCAAUCUCCUGACCUCGUGAUCCACCCGCCUCGGCCUCCCAAAGUGCUAGGAUUACAGGCGUGGGCCACCGUGCCUGUCCCAGUUUCCUCAUUUUUAAAUGAAAGAGCUGGAAAUACCUUUAAAAGGUUGAGGGUCUAAUGAAUCAUCUUCAUGUACAUUCAUAGAUAGCAUUGGCUUUCAUUGUGAUUAUGGUUUUUGGUGAGGGCACAUGGGCUUUUAAUACCUGGUCAGUGAUAUAGUUAGGAAUUGCAGUUUGUGACACUUUGGCCAAAUAAUCAUCAGGAAUUGUGAGUGAUGCUGGUGAAUAAUAGCUGUAGUCAGAUUUGUCCCUUGUGUUGAGUUCUAUGGCGGCAUUUUCAUGGGUUUCAGACCUUCCAGCUAAUAGUUGGCUUCCUGCCCACGUCAGUGCUUAAACUGUCAAACUUGUCCACCAAACCCUCAAUUCAUAAAGCUGAGUCUUCAAAAUCCCGCAUAAGAGGCACCAGUAGUCAAGUCUAAACUGUCUUCAGUAAGAUGUUCCCUAGUUUGCCUAGAGAUUCUGUGCUCAAAUGCCAUCUUGAAUGGAGUCAGCAGGCAAGGGUUGGCAGGGAGGUUGUCUAUAAGUUUGGCAUACACCAUGGGAAGAUAGACAUUACAUUCGUCUUCUUUGGGAUCCCUGUAAGCCAGUGGUUCUCAAUACUUGGCUUAACAUUAGGUCAACUCAGGAGGUAGGAAGGACGUAUAGAGGCAUCUCUUUAAAUAUAUUAAGGUCUUGACCUCACCCCAGAUAUUCUGAGUUAAUCUAGUGUGAUUCUGUUGUAUAGCCAGUGUACAACCUAUCAAAGGUUUUCUCAUACACCUCAAAAAUAGGGGUUAAAGGGUGCCAAGAAUGUCUCAGACCUCUGUAACUCAGCUGUAGCUAUAUUCCUUUCAAUUUUCUUUCCUGCUUGAUCAAACUCUUGACUCUUUUUGGAUGAGAAAACUGCUCUGGCAUCAUUAUGCAUUCUCCCCAAAUCUGGUUUAUAGGACAAUGCCUAAUUCAGCCAGGCUCCGAUCCUUAAUUUUCACAAAAGAAUUUGUAGAUUCCCAAAAGCUCUUUUUACCUCCAGAAUGGCUCUGACAAAUCAAAAGCAUUUGGCUUCCAGACACUUCUCUUCCUUUGGAUUUAAAGAACUUGACUUUGACAUUCAAAAUAAUAUCUGAUUUGUCCUCAUUUUCUCUCCCUUCCGAAGCAGUGACCAUCAAUGAGUCAUUGAAUAAAAUGCCAUAAGCAACUAGGAACACAAACUAGGAAUGAAAAAUGUUCAAAAAUAGUCUUCUGCUACACUCAUAUCAAUCACUAGAAAGCUACUGAAGCCUAAAUAUAUAACUAGUCUGAUUUUCAUUCUUACAGUUACCUGGUAAUCUUCAGAAGUCUUAUCUCCCUGAAGAAGAAUGUGUAUAGGAGUUACUUGAACUAGAAUGCAGUCACUAUCAUUCAUUCAUUUAGCAUUCAUUCAUUUAGCACAUGUGGUUGGUUGUGUUGGUUCAUUCAUUUAGCACGUAUUGAACGUUUGAUAGAUGAAAGACACUGUGUGAGACACUACAUAUACAUUGAUGGGGAAAAUGAAUAGUGCCUGCCCUAAUGGGGCUUAAUUAUUUAGAGUAUCACAAAUCUAUAAAUAACAGGCUGUUUGAAACCUAGUUCUUGAAUAAGUAUUUGUGUCAGUUCUUAUAAGGUAUGAGGUUAUUAAGGUCAUUGGAAAACCCUUUAUUUGACUCUACAUCCGGUAAGACUUUUAUACCUUGUACCAGACCUUCCUGUGUGUCAGUGCUACUGAAACAAAGGAGAAAGUAGGUGAAAGUACUUCAAACACUAGGAUUGAGGUAGAGCCAGCCAGACACAGAUUUCCUAACUUGUUUACAUUUUUAGAGGGCUAUUUCUUCAGUAAGAACAGUAUUAUGUUCCUAAUCAGCUUUCUCUUCAUUGCUUUGUAAAGGCAACUUUUUUUUUUAAAUUAAUUAAUUAAUAUUUUUUUGAGACAGAGUCUCGCUCUGUUGCCUGGGUUGGAGUGCAGUGGCGAGAUCUUAGCUCACUGCAACCUCCGUAAAGGCAACUUUAUUAAGUUACAAUUUACGUGCAACAAAAACAUUAUGCAUGUACAGUCUGAUUAAUUUGGACAAGACAUAUGCACCUGUGUGACUAUCACCACAACCAAAAUGAGAAUAUUUUCAUCACCCCUCAAAAGUUAUUCAAGUCUCUUAAUACUGGGUUCCCACCCAUCAACCCACAGCCCUAGGCAGUCAUUGAUCUGCUCUUCAUUGAUCUGCUCUGUGUCACUGUGGAUUAGAUAAAAUCAUUCAGUAUGUACUUUAUUUGUGUAAAUUUGUUUUGCUCAGCAUAGUGUCUGAGAAACAUCACAGAUGCAAUGAUGUUGCCUGAAUCAUCGCAAGACAUCGCUUGAAUCAGUAGUAGUGUUCCAUUAAAUGAAUAUGCUACGGUUUGUUAUUCUCCUAUUGGUGGGUACCUGGGCUCUUUCUGGUUUGGGGCUACCCCUAUGAAUAAAGUGACUAUGAACGUUUGAAUAUAAAUCUUUGUGUGAACAUGUGAUUUCAUUUCUCUUCAAUAAAUUCCUAGGGAUGAAACUGCCGAGUCAUGUGGUAAGUAUUUGUUUAACUUUGUAAGAUACUGCCAAACUGUUU